UACGAAGGGGGCUAGCGUUGCUCGGAAUCACUGGGCGUAAAGCGCACGUAGGCGGCUUUCUAAGUCAGGGGUGAAAUCCUGGAGCUCAACUCCAGAACUGCCUUUGAUACUGGCAACCUAGAGACUGGAAGAGGUUAGUGGAAUUCCCAGUGUAGAGGUGAAAUUCGUAGAUAUUGGGAAGAACACCAGUGGCGAAGGCGGGUCUCUGGACAGUUCCUGGCGCUGAGGCACGAAGGUCAGGGGAGCAAACGGGG
rnacentral:rRNA from 1 species